AUAUCGCCCGUCGCUCUCAUUAUUAAGGUGAGAUAAGUCGUAACAAAGUAGGUCUACUGGAAGGUGGUCCUGGAAAUAA
rnacentral:rRNA from 1 species